UGCAAGUCGAACGAAGCUCGAUUCUUUGAGAUUUCGGUCAAAAAGAAAAGAUGACUUAGUGGCGGACGGGUGAGUAAUGCGUGAGCAACCUGCCUCGGAGAGGGGGACAACAGCUGGAAACGGCUGCUAAUACCGCAUAAUGUAUUCGGAGGGCAUCCUCUGAAUAUCAAAGAUUUAUCGCUCUGAGAUGGGCUCACGUCUGAUUAGUUAGUUGGUGAGGUAACGGCUCACCAAGACUGCGAUCAGUAGCCGGACUGAGAGGUUGAACGGCCACAUUGGGACUGAGAUACGGCCCAGACUCCUACGGGAGGCAGCAGUGGGGAAUAUUGGGCAAUGGGCGCAAGCCUGACCCAGCAACGCCGCGUGAAGGAAGAAGGCUUUCGGGUUGUAAACUUCUUUUAUGAGGGACGAAGAAUGUGACGGUACCUCAUGAAUAAGCCACGGCUAACUACGUGCCAGCAGCCGCGGUAAUACGUAGGUGGCGAGCGUUAUCCGGAUUUACUGGGUGUAAAGGGCGCGUAGGCGGGGAAGCAAGUCAGAUGUGAAAUCCAUGGGCUCAACCCAUGAACUGCAUUUGAAACUGUUUCUCUUGAGUGCCGGAGAGGUAGACGGAAUUCCUAGUGUAGCGGUGAAAUGCGUAGAUAUUAGGAGGAACACCAGUGGCGAAGGCGGCCUACUGGACGGUAACUGACGCUGAGGCGCGAAAGCGUGGGGAGCAAACAGGAUUAGAUACCCUGGUAGUCCACGCUGUAAACGAUGAAUACUAGGUGUGGGGGGACUGACCCCUUCCGUGCCGCAGUUAACACAAUAAGUAUUCCACCUGGGGAGUACGACCGCAAGGUUGAAACUCAAAGGAAUUGACGGGGGCCCGCACAAGCAGUGGAUUAUGUGGUUUAAUUCGAAGCAACGCGAAGAACCUUACCAGGGCUUGACAUCCAACUAACGAAGUAGAGAUACAUUA
rnacentral:rRNA from 1 species